rnacentral:rRNA from 1 species
UACGUAGGGGGCAAGCGUUGUCCGGAUUUAUUGGGCGUAAAGAGCGUGUAGGCGGCCAUGCAGGUCCGUUGUGAAAACUCGAGGCUCAACCUCGAGACGCCGAUGGAAACCGCAUGGCUAGAGUCCGGAAGAGGAGAGUGGAAUUCCCGGUGUAGCGGUGAAAUGCGCAGAUAUCGGGAAGAACACCCGUGGCUAAGGCGGCUCUCUAGUACGGUACUGACGCUGAUGCACGAAAGCUAGGGGAGCAAACAGG